CAAAUUAAUUUAUUCCAGCACUUUGGGGCAUGGAAAGCUUGGAAUUCCUUGGGAUUCCUUGGGAUGGAUUCCUUGGGAUUCCUUGGGAUUCCUUGAGAUUCCUUGGGAUGGAUUCCUCAGGAUGGGUUCCUUGGGAUUCCUUGGGAUGGAUUCCUCAGGAUUCUUCAGGAUGGAUUCCUCGGGAUUUGUCAGGAUUCCUUGGGAUGGAUCCCUCAGG
rnacentral:lncRNA from 1 species